rnacentral:lncRNA from 1 species
CACAGACUCUGGUGGAGCAACGUUCAGGUGGUUCAGGAAAGGGCAGCAAUAAGGUGAGAUCUGGACAGAGGACUCGAGGCAGGGGGAGCUUGCCAAAGAGCCUUCUGAUGACUAUGUCUUUGGCUGUCCCAGGGGCCACUAGGUGUGACAGAGGAACUGCACAUCAUCAGCUUCACGGUCAAAUAUACCUACCAGGGUCUGAAGCAGGAGCUGAAAGUGAGUGAAAAUGGAGGGCAAGGAGAGAGAAAGCAGCUUUGGAAGAAGGCAUAAGAAGGGGAUAAACAGAAGCCUCUUGGGGUGGGUUAGCACUCCUUUCCUCUAACAAAUACCUGCAGCUAGAAACAUCACAUCCCUCUCUGUGACUCCUGUCUUCUCCCCAGACGGACACCCUCCCUGUGGUGAUUAUUUCCAACAUGAACCAGCUCUCAAUUGCCUGGGCUUCAGUUCUCUGGUUCAAUUUGCUCAGCCCAAACCUUCAGGUAGGGGAGUGGGGCCGACAGGUCAAGGCGCGAGAGGAGGGGUGUGGAAGCUUGGUGUGAUAGGUUGCUUCUGAGCCAGCCUACACUGCUCCCACCCCUGCAGAACCAGCAGUUCUUCUCCAACCCCCCCAAGGCCCCCUGGAGCUUGCUGGGCCCUGCUCUCAGUUGGCAGUUCUCCUCCUAUGUUGGCCGAGGCCUCAACUCAGACCAGCUGAGCAUGCUGAGAAACAAGCUGUUCGGGCAGAACUGUAGGACUGAGGAUCCAUUAUUGUCCUGGG